rnacentral:rRNA from 1 species
CCGCGUGAGGAUGAAGCUUUCGAGUCGGAAGCUCUUUUUUAUGGGAAGAUAAUGACGGUACCAUAGAAGAAAGCCCCGGCUAAUUACGUGCCAGCAUCCGCGGUAAUA